rnacentral:rRNA from 1 species
CGGAGAUGUGUAUAAGAGACAGGAAUGGGCUAGGGGGCUUCACGGCUUACCGAACCCUAUCAAACUCUGAAUGCCGCAUAAAUGUUUCCUGGGAGUCAGACUGCGUGAGAUAAGUUUCGUAGUCAAAAGGGAAAGAGCCCAGACCUACAGCUAAGGUCCCUAAAUGAAUUUAAGUGGAAAAGGAUGUGCAGUUGCGUAGACAACUAGGACGUUGGCUUAGAAGCAGCCACUCAUUUAAAGAGUGCGUAAUAGCUCACUAGUCGAGUGAUUGUGCGCCGAAAAUGUAACGGGGCUAAAAUUCAUACCGAAGCUUAGGAAUGAUAGUAAUAUUGUUGGUAGAUGAGCGUUGUGUAAGCCUGAGAAGCUACACCGAAAGGAGUAGUGGAGGUAUCACAAGUGAGAAUGCCGGAAUGAGUAGCGAGAAUUAUGUGAGAAUCAUAAUGGUCGAAAAUCUAAGGUUUCUUGAGGAAGGUUCGUCCGCUCAAGGUAAGCCGGGAGCUAAGGCGAGGCCGAGAGGCGUAGUCGAUGCACAUACGGUAAAGAUUCCGUAGCCACCGAAGUCGUUAAAUACAGGGACACAGGAACAUAGCCUAACCCCACCGUUGGUUGAGUGGGGCGUAAGGGAGCGAAAAUUAGUAGCGAAGUAGGUGAUUGUACACUGGCGAGAAAAGCUGUAUGAAUUGAUAAGGUGCCCGUACCGCAAACCGACACAGGUAGAUGAGGAGAGAAUCCUAAGACCAGCGGGAGAAGUGUUGUUAAGGAACUCGGCAAAAUGACCCCGUAACUUCGGGAUAAGGGGAGCCUACGCGAGUAGGCCGCAGAGAAUAGUCUCAAGCGACUGUUUAGCAAAAACACAGGUCUAUGCUAAAUCGAAAGAUGAUGUAUAUGGGCUGACGCCUGCCCGGUGCUGGAAGGUUAAGGGGAAGUGUUAGAGCAAUCGAAGCACUGAACUUAAGCCCCAGUAAACGGCGGCCGUAACUAUAACGGUCCUAAGGUAGCGAAAUUCCUUGUCAGGUAAGUUCUGACCCGCACGAAUGGCGUAACGACUUGAGAGCUGUCUCAACAACAUACCCGGCGAAAUUGAAGUACUGGUAAAGAUGCCAGUUACCCGUGAUAAGACGGAAAGACCCCAUGGAGCUUUACUGUAACUUGAUAUUGAAUUUUUGUAUUACAUGUACAGGAUAGGUGGGAGACAGAGAACUAAUGCCGCCAGGUGUUAGGGAGUCGAUGUUGGGAUACCACUCUUGUAAUAUGAAGGUUCUAACCUGCACCCGUGAAUCCGGGUGGGGGACACUGUCAGGUGGACAGUUUGACUGGGGCGGUCGCCUCCUAAAAGGUAACGGAGGCGUUCAAAGGUUGGUUCAGCACGGACGGAAAUCGUGCAACGAGUGCAAACGCAUAAACCAGCCUAACUGCGAGACCGACAAGUCGAGCAGUAACGAAAGUUGGAGUUAGUGAUCCGGCGGUAUGAGAGUGGAAUUGCC